UAUAUUUAUUUAUUGCGAAGAAGCCUUUAUUGCGACCUGAUAACAUUGCGAAAAAAAGAGUAUUUGCGAAGUUGGACAAAACCUGGACUGUCGUACAAUGGAAUAAAAUGCUAUGGAGUGAUGAAAGUACCUUUACUGUUAUCUGUGGAGCUAAAAGAGCUUAUGUUAUGAGAAUAUUUGUGCAUCGACUUCUCACGAAUUAUACAGAGUCGAUUGUCGAUGCAAUAAUUGCUGAUUCGUGAAAGCGGGCAACAUUUGCUUGUCUUAAAGUGCCUUAAAUCCAACAGAUAUCAUCGUUAUAAUAUUACUUUGUUUGUAAAUUGUUUUAAAAAAUAAAUUUAAAAAUAACUUUUAAA
rnacentral:lncRNA from 1 species